rnacentral:lncRNA from 1 species
UACAAGUUUCAAGCCAGUGACUCCGUCGGAUCCGGAGCGCUACCAUGACUGCACAUUCAACCAUCAAUGGCAAACGUCACAAUUGCGCUGUUGCAGAUGUUCUCGAGUCCACUGCUGUCCAAAAACUGUCUCGUGUCUGCGUCCUGAAACAGCCAGCCUCGGUGCCGCAGCAACUGUCGGCUCGGCGCCGAGCGCCUUCAAGGUUUCCAGGAAAGUUUCCAUGAUCAAGGGGCUGUCGGGGCUCGGCUGUGCAGGCUGCCGGGCUGCUGAGAUCCCAGGUGGUGACGGCGCCGGAGGCAGCCCUCCACCGCCACUGACGGCCGCCACUGCCCUGCUUGAGCAGACGCCUUCUCUAUGGCGCUGACGGCUCCCGCCCCUCCGGCUCUGAUAGCUCCGCAGCGCUGAAGCGAGCGCACUGAUGCCGGUCACUUCCACGCUGGCUCCUGCCUCCGCUGAGGUGACGGCAGUCGCCGUGCCCUGC